UUUGAUGGAGGGUUUGAUCCUGGCUCAGGACGAACGCUGGCGGCGUGCUUAACACAUGCAAGUC
rnacentral:rRNA from 1 species